rnacentral:ncRNA from 1 species
AAAUGUAAAAGGCAAACCAAUACGAAAGUUUGGGACGCAAAGUCACGGAUCUAAUGUCUUAAAACAAUGAUGGCCGGACUGCCAAA